CCAAGGAACACUACGUCUACCAAGAAAGGGAGGCGCCUUCUUCAGUGGAAUCCACAGUUUGAAGGACAAGCGUCGAAUGAAGAAGUGCAAAGUCAUUCUGAUCAAGUGGUUCUCAACAGUUCAACAGUUCUUUGAGAAAAUUGUGAAAUGUUUAGGACCACUUGAGCAGUCGGACAAAUGCUGCCAUCUCAGACGAUUCUGGCUGGAUUCAAAGAAGGCCUGAAUCUGGACAAAUUUGGGAACGACUGCAUCGUUUUUACCAUAUUUGUCAGCCUCCCUGAUGUCUCCCUGUCAUCUCUGCCUGACUGCGUCCCAGCAGCACCUGCAGCUCUGGAGCUGUGGGGGGCUGUAAAAAUGAUUAGGGCUCAGUAAUUUCAUUCUACUGGCACAUAUGCAACAUUUUAACGGCUCUAUUGCUGCAUAGCUCUCACUUUUUCACUGCUUUUCUGUCCCUACUUUCCAGAGGUACUGAUUAAAACAAGUCAAUAAA